rnacentral:rRNA from 1 species
AUUCCAGCUCCAAUAGCGUAUAUUAAAGUUGUUGCAGUUAAAACGCUCGUAGUCGGAUUUCUGGCGUGGUGCGCCCGGCCCGAUACCGCUAAGGUGUCGAGUGCCGGCGCGCGCCUGCCAUCCUUCCGGAGAGCGUGCCUACCCUUCACUGGGCCGGGUACGCGAUCUGGAUCGUUUACUUUGAAAAAAUUAGAGUGUUUAAAGCAGGCUUACGCUUCUGAAUACAUUAGCAUGGAAUAAUAAGAUAGGACUUUGGUUCUAUUUUGUUGGUUUCUAGAACUAAAGUAAUGAUUGAUAGGGACAGUUGGGGGUGCUAGUAUUUAACGGCCAGAGGUGAAAUUCUUGGAUUCGUUAAAGACUAACUAAUGCGAAAGCAUUUGCCAGGGAUGUUUUCAUCA